CGGACGGGUUAGUAACGCGUGGGAAUAUGCCCGACACUAAGGAAUAGCCUCUGGAAACGGAGAGUAAUACCUUAUACGCCCUUCGGGGGAAAGAUUUAUCGGUGACGGAUUAGCCCGCGUUAGAUUAGAUAGUUGGUGGGGUAAUGGCCUACCAAGUCUACGAUCUAUAGCUGGUUUUAGAGGAUGAUCAGCAACACUGGGACUGAGACACGGCCCAGACUCCUACGGGAGGCUGCAGUGGGGAAUCUUGGACAAUGGGCGCAAGCCUGAUCCAGCCAUGCCGCGUGAGUGAUGAAGGCCUUAGGGUCGUAAAGCUCUUUCGCCAGAGAUGAUAAUGACAGUAUCUGGUAAAGAAACCCCGGCUAACUCCGUGCCAGCAGCCGCGGUAAUACGGAGGGGGUUAGCGUUGUUCGGAAUUACUGGGCGUAAAGCGUACGUAGGCGGAUUAGUCAGUUAGAGGUGAAAUCCCGGGGCUCAACCCCGGAACUGCCUUUAAUACUGCUAGUCUUGAGUUCGAGAGAGGUGAGUGGAAUUCCGAGUGUAGAGGUGAAAUUCGUAGAUAUUCGGAGGAACACCAGUGGCGAAGGCGGCUCACUGGCUCGAUACUGACGCUGAGGUGCGAAAGCGCGGGGAGCAAACAGGAUUAGAUACCCUGGUAGUCCACGCCGUAAACGAGGAGAAC
rnacentral:rRNA from 1 species